rnacentral:rRNA from 1 species
UACGUAGGGCGCAAGCGUUGUCCGGAAUUAUUGGGCGUAAAGAGCUCGUAGGCGGCUUGUCGCGUCGGAUGUGAAAGCCCGGGGCUUAACCCCGGGUCUGCAUUCGAUACGGGCAGGCUAGAGUUCGGUAGGGGAGAUCGGAAUUCCUGGUGUAGCGGUGAAAUGCGCAGAUAUCAGGAGGAACACCGGUGGCGAAGGCGGAUCUCUGGGCCGACACUGACGCUGAGGAGCGAAAGCGUGGGGAGCGAACAGG